AGUCGACGAACUUCUUUAUCACCGAGUGCUUGCACUCACCGAUAAAGAGUUGAGUGGCGAACGGGUGAGUAACACGUGGGCAACCUGCCCAAAAGAGGGGGAUAACACUUGGAAACUGGUGCUAAUACCGCAUAACCAUAGUUACCGCAUGGUAACUAUGUAAAAGGUGGCUAUGCUACCGCUUUUGGAUGGGCCCGCGACGCAUUAGCUAGUUGGUGGGGUAAAGGCUUACCAAGGCAAUGAUGCGUAGCCGAACUGAGAGGUUGAUCGGCCACAUUGGGACUGAGACACGGCCCAAACUCCUACGGGAGGCAGCAGUAGGGAAUCUUCCACAAUGGGCGAAAGCCUGAUGGAGCAACGCCGCGUGGGUGAAGAAGGUCUUCGGAUCGUAAAACCCUGUUGUUAGAGAAGAAAGUGCGUGAGAGUAACUGUUCACGUUUCGACGGUAUCUAACCAGAAAGCUACGGCUAACUACGUGCCAGCAGCCGCGGUAAUACGUAGGUGGCAAGCGUUAUCCGGAUUUAUUGGGCGUAAAGAGAACGCAGGCGAUCUUUUAAGUCUGAUGUGAAA
rnacentral:rRNA from 1 species